rnacentral:rRNA from 1 species
AUUGAACGCUGGCGGCAUGCCUUACACAUGCAAGUCGAACGGUAACGGGUCCUUCGGGAUGCCGACGAGUGGCGAACGGGUGAGUAAUAUAUCGGAACGUGCCCAGUAGUGGGGGAUAACUGCUCGAAAGAGCAGCUAAUACCGCAUACGACCUGAGGGUGAAAGGGGGGGAUCGCAAGACCUCUCGCUAUUGGAGCGGCCGAUAUCAGAUUAGCUAGUUGGUGGGGUAAAGGCCUACCAAGGCAACGAUCUGUAGUUGGUCUGAGAGGACGACCAGCCACACUGGGACUGAGACACGGCCCAGACUCCUACGGGAGGCAGCAGUGGGGAAUUUUGGACAAUGGGCGCAAGCCUGAUCCAGCAAUGCCGCGUGCAGGAAGAAGGCCUUCGGGUUGUAAACUGCUUUUGUCAGGGAAGAAAUCUUCUGGGCUAAUACCCCGGGAGGAUGACGGUACCUGAAGAAUAAGCACCGGCUAACUACGUGCCAGCAGCCGCGGUAAUACGUAGGGUGCGAGCGUUAAUCGGAAUUACUGGGCGUAAAGCGUGCGCAGGCGGCUUUGCAAGACAGAUGUGAAAUCCCCGGGCUCAACCUGGGAGCUGCAUUUGUGACUGCAAGGCUAGAGUACGGCAGAGGGGGAUGGAAUUCCGCGUGUAGCAGUGAAAUGCGUAGAUAUGCGGAGGAACACCAAUGGCGAAGGCAAUCCCCUGGGCCUGUACUGACGCUCAUGCACGAAAGCGUGGGGAGCAAACAGGAUUAGAUACCCUGGUAGUCCACGCCCUAAACGAUGUCAACUGGUUGUUGGACGGCUUGCUGUUCAGUAACGAAGCUAACGCGUGAAGUUGACCGCCUGGGGAGUACGGCCGCAAGGUUGAAACUCAAAGGGAUUGACGGGGACCCGCACAAGCGGUGGAUGAUGUGGUUUAAUUCGAUGCAACGCGAAAAACCUUACCUACCCUUGACAUGUCAAGAAUUCUGCAGAGAUGUGGAAGUGCUCGAAAGAGAACUUGAACACAGGUGCUGCAUGGCCGUCGUCAGCUCGUGUCGUGAGAUGUUGGGUUAAGUCCCGCAACGAGCGCAACCCUUGUCAUUAGUUGCUACGCAAGAGCACUCUAAUGAGACUGCCGGUGACAAACCGGAGGAAGGUGGGGAUGACGUCAGGUCCACAUGGCCCUUAUGGGUAGGGCUACACACGUCAUACAAUGGCCGGUACAGAGGGCUGCCAACCCGCGAGGGGGAGCCAAUCCCAGAAAACCGGUCGUAGUCCGGAUCGUAGUCUGCAACUCGACUGCGUGAAGUCGGAAUCGCUAGUAAUCGCGGAUCAGCUUGCCGCGGUGAAUACGUUCCCGGGUCU